AGAUAAGACAGCUGAAUGAUAGUCGGGCUGAAGACUCUACUUGACUAGCUGAGAGGAGGUGCAUGGCCGUCGUCAGUUCGUACUGUGAAGCAUCCUGUUAAGUCAGGCAACGAGCGAGACCCACGCCAACAGUUGCCAGCUCGUCCUCCGGGAUGGUGGGGACACUGUUGGGACCGCCGCUGCUAAAGCGGAGGAAGGAAUGGGCAACGGUAGGUCAGUAUGCCCCGAAUUAUCCGGGCUACACGCGGGCUACAAUGGUCAGGACAAUGGGUAUCGACACCGAGAGGUGGAGGCAAUCUCCUAAACCUGUCCUUAGUUCGGAUUGUGGGCUGCAACUCGCCCACAUGAAGCUGGAAUCCGUAGUAAUCGCGUUUCAAAAUAGCGCGGUGAAUAUGUCCCUGCUCCUU
rnacentral:rRNA from 1 species